ACAGUAUCGGCCGAGGCAAAUUCUCACCAACCCACUCAUUUGGAUCUCAAAUCAGGCAAGGCAACCCGCUGAAUUUAAGCAUAUUAUUAACGGAGGAAAAGAAACUAACUAGGAUUCCCGCAGUAGCGGCGAGCGAAGCGGGAAGAGCCCAACAUGAAAAGCCUGCUUGCAGGCGUUGUAUUGUGAGCAGCCUCUGGGGUGUCAGUGUGGGUAAGUCGCAUGGAAAUGCGGGCCACGGAGGGUGAGAGUCCCGUCCGUCCCACACAGGACACACCGUACGAGGCUGUUUCAGACGAGUCGGGUAGCUUGGGAAUGCUGCUCUAAUUGGUGGUGAAUCUCAUCAAAGCCAAAUAACGGCUGAAGACGAUAGCGAACAAGUACCGUGAGGGAAAGAUGCAAAGCACUUCGAAAAGAGGGUGAAAAGAACCUGAAACCGUCAUGGAGGAAGCGGAUUGCGUUGGAAUGAAAGGGCGCUGUGUGUUCAGCCCGUUUGGGGUGCACUGGCACGAGUGCCUAUCCGCCGUGGGCUGCCGGGGGCCGAUUGGUGGGUCCCUGGCGGCUGAGGGCUCUCCUCUUGCAGGGUUGAGGACGGCGGAGGGACGACGCGAUACGACCCGUCUUGAAACACGGACCAAGGAGUCUAGCGCGGAUGCGAGUCAAAGGGUGUGAAAUCCCGUGGGCGCAGUGAAAGCGACGUUGCAAAACGAGCAGUUUGAGGCGGCAUGAGAUCAUUGUAUCUCAAGUCCGACCUGGAGUAUUUGCGCUGGACCCGAAAGAUGUUGAACUAUGCCGGAGUAGAGCAAAGCCAGAGGAAACUCUGGUGGAGGCUCGUAGCGGUGCUGACGUGCAAAUCGCUCGUCAACUUGGUAUAAGGCGAAAGACUAAUCGAACCAUCUAGUAGCUGUUCCCUCCGAAGUUUCUCUCAGAAUAGCGGCCGACACGAGUUUUUCUGUGUGGUUAAAGCGAAUGGUUAGCGCGAUUUGGAACAGUAUGUCUUCUGGCGAUUCUCAAACUUUAAAUGCGCAGAGGUGUCUGCUUGUUGAGCGGAACCGGCAAAAAUGUCGGCCCUGUGGCCACUUUUGGUAAGCAGAACAGGCGAUACGGGAUGAACCGUAAGCACGGUAAGGCGCCCAAGUGCCCGCUUAUAGACCCCACAAAAGGCGUUGAUUCAUCGAGACAGCAGGACGGUGGCCGUGGAAGUCGGAAUCCGCUAAGGAGUGUGUAACAACUCACCUGCCGAAUGAAUUAGCCCUGAAAAUGGAUGGCGCUGAAGCGGGCUGCCCGACACCGUGCCGUCUGGGCGAGAAAGGCCCAGAUGAGUAGGAGGGCUGGCGGCCGUAUCGAAGCACGCGUGCAAACGCGUGGGAACGGCCGCUAGUGCAGAUCUUAGUGGUAGUAGCAAGUAUUCAAGCGAGAAUCCUUGAAGGCGAAGCGGGGAAGGGUUCCACGCGAACAUGAUUGGGCGUGGGUGAGUCGUUCCUAAGCCGAGUGCGAUUGCUAAGUAGCGGCGAAAGGAAAGCGGGUUGAAAUUCCCGCACACGGAUGUGGACGCGGUGAUGCGAUGAUGGGGCGAAGACGCUGGCGACGGCGCUGGGCAGUUGUCUUUUCUGUUUGACCAGUUUGCGCGCGCGUGUGGAAUCCGCUUGUCGGGAGAAACACGCGUGUGCGGGCAGAGCGCCGGGGCUUUUCCGGCGUCCAGCUCGCCGUCGACGGCCCUUGAAAAUUUGCCUGCUGAAAAUCUUUGAUUUGAAAUCCACGCCGUGGCGUACCGAUCACCGCAUCAGGUCCCCAAGGUGAACAGCCUCUGCUCAGUAUGAAUAAUGCAGGUAAGGGAAGUCGGCAAAUUAGACCCGUAACUUUGGGAAAAGGGUUGGCUCUAGUGCUGCGUGGGAGUGGUUGCCGGGUUCUGGCGCGCGCGGCUGUGCGGCCUUCGGCGCGGGACCUCGCAAGGGGACCUGUGCCGUGCCGCUGAGUCUGCGCGCCGCCACGCCUGGCGACGCCCACGGCAUGCAGCAGACUAGAACUGCAACGGGCAAAGGGAAUCCGACUGUUUAAUUAAAACAAAGCAUUGCGAGGGCCGUGGCCGGUGAUGACGCAAUGUGAUUUCUGCUCAGUGCUCUGAAUGUCAAAGUGAAGAGAUUCAAUCAAGCGCGGGUAAACAGCGGAGUAACUAUGACUCUCUUAAGGUAGCCAAAUGCCUCGUCAUCUAAUUAGUGACGCGCAUGAAUGGAUUAACGAGAUUCCUACUGUCCCUAUCUGCUUCUAGCGAAACCACAGCCGAGGGAACGGGCUCGGCAGAAUCGGCGGGGAAAGAAGACCCUGUUGAGCUUGACUCUAUUCUAAUUUUUGUGAAGCAAGUUGGGAGGUGUAGCAUAGGUGGGAGCGCUCACGCGCGGCCGUGAAAUACCACUACUCCCAGUCUUGCUUUACUUACUGGGUUGGUGUGGAUGGGCGCUUGUACCGCCCGAUUCUGGAACCAACGCGGGCGCUUUGCGCCUGCGGACCACAGCCCAGGACAGAUUUAGGAGGGGAGUUUGGCUGGGGCGGCACAUCUUCUACAAGACAACGAAGGUGUCCAAAGAUGAGCUCAGUGAGAACAGAAAUCUCACGUAGCGCAAAAGGGUAAAAGCUCGUUUGAUUUCGAUUUUCAGUGCGAGUCGAAAACGCGAAAGCGUGGCCUAUCGAUCCUUUCACGAUUCGAGAUUUGAAGCGAGAGGUGUCAGAAAAGUUACCACAGGGAUAACUGGCUUGUGGCGGCCAAGCGUCCAUAGCGACGUCGCUUUUUGAUCCUUCGAUGUCGGCUCUUCCUAUCAUUGUCGAAUAUGUACAAUACCCAAGUGUCGGAUUGUUCACCCGCCAACAGGGAACGUGAGCUGGGUUUAGACCGUCGUGAGACAGGUUAGUUUUAUCCUACCGAUGAGUUGUUGUCGCGCCAGUAAUUCAAGGCAGUACGAGAGGAACGCUUGAUUCAGAUCACUGGCUCAUGCAGCUGCACGACCCUGCACUGCUGCGACCCUACCAUCUGAAUGAUCAGAAAGG
rnacentral:rRNA from 1 species